rnacentral:rRNA from 1 species
UACGAAGGGGGCUAGCGUUGUUCGGAAUCACUGGGCGUAAAGCGCACGUAGGCGGAUUGUUAAGUCGGGGGUGAAAUCCUGAGGCUCAACCUCAGAACUGCCUUCGAUACUGGCAAUCUCGAGUCCGGAAGAGGUUGGUGGAACAGCUAGUGUAGAGGUGAAAUUCGUAGAUAUUAGCUAGAACACCAGUGGCGAAGGCGGCCAACUGGUCCGGUACUGACGCUGAGGUGCGGAAAGCGUGGGGAGCAACAGGGAUCAAGAA